ACUUGGUGCAAGGGAGAAAACAGGCUCAGGGAUCCAACCCGAGGCAAGGGGGAAGCAGGUAGGGGAUCCAAAGUGCCCCCGGCCAUGCCCGCUCGAGCCGGGUGGCGGGCCAGGGGCAACUGAGGGCUGACCCCUCCUUGGGGCGAACCGGAGAUCUCUGAAGCUGCAGGGGGAUGACCAGGAUGGUUCGCUGCAGCGGCGGCAACCAGAGUUUGUUGCUCUACUCUCGAUGGAAUGGUCCAGGACGCCAAUCCUUGCUUAGUGACCAAGUGACUGGUAGCAGCUGGGGGUUUCCUGGAGCCUCUAAUACAGCCUGUGCAGCUCCGGACUUCUGGUAGGGAAAGAGGCCGAACUCUUCUAGGCAAGGCUGGUCAGAGAGAAGCGGCCUUGCCCGAAGAUUGACGUUGGUUUUCUCUGCGUCACUGCUUUGGAACCAUUCUAAAGUGGAAGAGGAAGGCAGCAGACCCGAAUUCCCUCUCCGUAAACCUGGGGUUGCCCGCCCACCUGAUCCAUCGCCACAAGUCCCAGCCAGCCUAUACCACCUACGUUUCUCCGAUGGUCAGGAGAUUUCUCCAACGCUCCCCUCCGGAACCGGAACUCCCCAAGACGGGCGGCCCGCCUGAAAUGGCCCAAGAAAGGCAGGAAGCAGAGAGUGAGGGGCCGCCCCAGUCAGCGCUCAGCCCUCAGAAUUCAGCGGCCGUCCCCCGGGGCCUGGAGCCUGACCCAGGUUCGGCCCAGGGCCCCUCAGGGUCGGGAUAUAAGGUCAUUUUCCCGCGGAAACCCCCGCUCCGGGUACUUCCCUUUGGCUCCCAAACCGGGCGCGAGGAGGGAGAGGUAAGGGAUUGUCCGCAGUUGAUGCUUGAAGAAUGACUUUCCCUCCGUCUGGGUCACCAAAGCUGUUCCCCUGUGAAAUUUCUUUUAACAUGUCUUUAAAAGGC